GAUGAACGCUGGCGGCGUGCCUAAUACAUGCAAGUCGAGCGAACAGACGAGGAGCUUGCUCCUCUGACGUUAGCGGCGGACGGGUGAGUAACACGUGGAUAACCUACCUAUAAGACUGGGAUAACUUCGGGAAACCGGAGCUAAUACCGGAUAAUAUAUUGAACCGCAUGGUUCAAUAGUGAAAGACGGUUUUGCUGUCACUUAUAGAUGGAUCCGCGCCGCAUUAGCUAGUUGGUAAGGUAACGGCUUACCAAGGCGACGAUGCGUAGCCGACCUGAGAGGGUGAUCGGCCACACUGGAACUGAGACACGGUCCAGACUCCUACGGGAGGCAGCAGUAGGGAAUCUUCCGCAAUGGGCGAAAGCCUGACGGAGCAACGCCGCGUGAGUGAUGAAGGUCUUCGGAUCGUAAAACUCUGUUAUUAGGGAAGAACACAUGUGUAAGUAACUAUGCACGUCUUGACGGUACCUAAUCAGAAAGCCACGGCUAACUACGUG
rnacentral:rRNA from 1 species